CCUUAUGGGUAGGGCUUCACACGUCAUACAAUGGUCGGUACAGAGGGUUGCCAAGCCGCGAGGUGGAGCCAAUCCCAGAAAGCCGAUCGUAGUCCGGAUCGCAGUCUGCAACUCGACUGCGUGAAGUCGGAAUCGCUAGUAAUCGCGGAUCAGCAUGCCGCGGUGAAUACGUUCCCGGGUCUUGUACACACCGCCCGUCACACCAUGGGAGUGGGUUUCACCAGAAGAGGCUAGCCUAACCGCAAGGGGGGCGGUCGCCACGGUGAGAUUCAUGACUGGGGUGAAGUCGUAACAAGGUAGCCGUAUCGGAAGGUGCGGCUGGAUCACCUCCUUUCUA
rnacentral:rRNA from 1 species